CUUCUAAAUAAAAUUUAUUAUUUAAAUAUAUACAACAUACAGUGGUUUAAUAUGUAUAGUUGUAAAAAGAUUGAAAGAAAAAAUCGACAAGUCAAUACAGUUGACCACCAAAAUGUACAUUAUCAACAUUAUGAAAUAUGUAGGGUCCAGCAACCAAUCACUUUGUACAGAUUCGACAUCAUGAUUCAAAAUCUGGUUCAUAUCUAAAAAUAAAAACAUUAUAUACACUCAUUGUCUCUUUCCAAAAAGUUGCUUAGCAUCAGCCUAGCCAAGCCACUGGUUGCGCAGCAGCAUUUCCUGUUCCCUGUUGCGUUGUGUACUUUUCUGCUCAGUUAAAUACUGUAUUCUUUUCGUAAAUUGGAAAACUUUCUUUCUAAACUAUUGGCUCCAUUUUAAGCAUUUGUGUGCGUAGCGGGACAGAGCGAGCAACAAUUUUCUGCUUAUAAUUAUCACUUAUUUACUGAGACCGAGGGAAACAGUGUGUUUUGUGGACCCGAGACGGUCGAUGAUUCCUGAGGCGAAGCUGAGGGAAACAUCGACGGUCGAGGGUCCACAAAACACACUGCUUUCUCGAGGUCUCAGUAAAUAAGUGUUUUACUAUAGGCCGGUUUACACGACCAGUGUUUUGGGCACGGCACCCCUAAAAAUGGGCACCCGUGCCCAAAAUUUUAGGCACGGCA
rnacentral:lncRNA from 1 species